CAGUGGCGGCGUGCCUAACCAUGCAAGUCGAACGCGAAGACCCCGCAAGGGGUUUGUAGAGUGGCAAGCGGGUGAGUAACACGUGGGUGACCUGCCUCAGAGUGGGGGAUAACGACCCGAAAGGGUCGCUAAUACCGCAUAACAUCCUGCCUUUGGAGAGGUGGAGAUCAAAGCCGGGGAUCGCAAGACCUGGCGCUUGGAGAGGGGCCCGCGGCCGAUUAGCUAGUUGGUGAGGUAACGGCUCACCAAGGCAACGAUCGGUAUCCGGCCUGAGAGGGCGGACGGACACACUGGGACUGAGACACGGCCCAGACUCCUACGGGAGGCAGCAGUGGGGAAUUGUUCGCAAUGGGCGCAAGCCUGACGACGCAACGCCGCGUGGAGGAUGAAGAUCUUCGGGUCGUAAACUCCUUUCGAUCGGGAAGAACGUUUCCGGGGUGAAUAAGUCC
rnacentral:rRNA from 1 species